GACAUUAAAACGUGUGGCUUCUCUAUAUUACUUCUUUUGCCAGCUAACGUGAGUGGCCAUAUAAAGGAAAUAAAGCAUGGCACGAGUAAUUUAUAGAAUCACUGCCUGGCUUCCUCAAUACCACUGCGAUGGGCACAUAUGCAGUAACGUUCCUGAUCUUUAUGCUGUGCUUUGCAGUUUACCACUGCAGCGCCGGUCACCAUACUCCGUGUUAUUAUUAUAUCUGCGACAACAGUAGUCUCACGUGCCCGGGAAACUGCUCGUGUCCAAGCGAUUGGGACAAGAAGAAUGGAAUGUGUGAAACAGUGAUGUGAAGAUGUGAAGCCCUCAAGUGCGCAUGUGCGCACUCUUUAUCACCCUUCCCUCGUCCCUUUAAUUUCAUAUAUAUUCACUUUUGUGAAUAAACGCCGAGCUGUUUUUGC